rnacentral:rRNA from 1 species
UAAGGGAUCUUGCGACAAUGGGCGAAAGCCUGACGCAGCAACGCCGCGUGCGGGAGGACGGCCUUCGGGUUGUAAACCUCUUUCGGUAGGGACGAAGCGCGAGUGACGGUACCUACUAAAGAAGCACCGGCCAACUACGUGCCAGCAGCCGCGGUAAUACGUAGGGUGCGAGCGUUGUCCGGAAUUAUUGGGCGUAAAGGGCUCGUAGGCGGUUUGUCGCGUCGGGAGUGAAAACCAGGUGCUUAACACCUGGCUUGCUUUCGAUACGGGCAGACUAGAGGUAUGCAGGGGAGAACGGAAUUCCUGGUGUAGCGGUGAAAUGCGCAGAUAUCAGGAGGAACACCGGUGGCGAAGGCGGUUCUCUGGGCAUGACCUGACGCUGAGGAGCGAAAGUGUGGGGAGCGAA